rnacentral:rRNA from 1 species
CAGCCGUAAACUAUGCUCGCUAGGUGUCAGGCAUGGCGCGACCGUGUCUGGUGCCGCAGGGAAGCCGUGAAGCGAGCCACCUGGGAAGUACGGCCGCAAGGCUGAAACUUAAAGGAAUUGGCGGGGGUGCACAACAACGGGUGGAGCCUGCGGUUUAAUUGGACUCAACGCCGGACAACUCACCGGGAACGACAGCAAUAUGUAGGCCAGGCUGAAGACCUUGCCUGAAUCGCUGAGAGGAGGUGCAUGGCGUAGACGUCU